CCGGCAGCGCAGGUCGGCGUCGCCGCCUCCGAGUCCAGCGGUCCCGAUGCCCAGCCCGCCCGUCAGUUCUCCUGACGGUUCUCCCCACUCGCGUCUCGACACCACCUGCUCGGCACACGGCGGAGGAUGAUGGCGGAGGAGGAGGAUUUUGAAAGCCGGCAGUUUCUUUCCUUCGAUUUGAUUUGUUCGAGGCCCUGACGGCUUCCCCGGCCCCCGCGCGUGUGGCCUACGGGGAGUGGUAGUCCAGUUCUCCCGCUUGGGGCGCGGGAGAGAGCGGCCGCGAACUACCAAUCCCGUGAUGCAACGCGCCCAGAGCGCCGCCGCCGGCCCCUCUCCGCCCUCCCUUUUCAGCUUCUGGCUUUUUCUGCGGGAGACCACAGGGCGGCGUUUAGACGUAAGCGCCCCGGAAGACUACAAUUCCCUUUAUGCUUUGCGGCCUAGCAUCCGCCCUUCUGGAAAGGUGCAAACUCACUUAACAAAGCCGUAGAGCCGAAGGCACGCUGUUGGGUCAGUUCAGCAAGCGGUAAUAUUGAGACAAUUAGCAGAAGUUGAAAAGGGAGGGUGAAGAGGGGACCCGCGGCAGCGCUCUGGGCAUGUUGCAUCACGGGACUGAAAGAUAACAGUAUUGUAUCAACAUUAAAUUUAUUGAUUUUUAUUACUGU